ACCGGAGAAAUGUCCGAUCGUAACCUGCGAAUAUCACUUGAAGGGAUUCAGUAGGAAAUAUGAUAAAAAUAGGCAUACAUUAACACAUUACAAAGGGACGAUGGUGUGCGGCUUCUGUCCCGGUUCCGGCUCUGCUGCAGAGAAGAGUUUUAACCGUGCAGAUGUGUUCAAGCGACACCUGACUUCUGUUCAUGGCGUGGAGCAGACGGCGCCAAAUAGCCGGAAGAAAACGCCGCCUACGUCAAACCGAAAGGCUGCAACUUACAGCCAUGAUGCUACAGGAAAAUGCUCGACAUGUUCCUCAACGUUCAUCAACGCGCAGGAAUUCUAUGAACACUUGGACGACUGUGUUCUGCGGGUCGUCCAGCAGGAAGAGCCCAGUGAAGCCAUCAAUCUUAAACGAUUGACAGAGGUGGCCUCUGACGAUGCUGUGCGACAGACCAUGGAGAAACACAUGCUUGUUGACACGGCCAAUGACGCGAUAACGAACAAUACCCAAACCGACGACCAUGAUGAUGAUAACAAUGACUCUAACGACCUUUCAAACAAUGACACCACCAACAGCAAUAAUAAUACCACAAACACCAAAGGCCUAUCCACUGGUAAAGGCUCUCUAACACCAUCCGCCUCAUCAACCGCCGCCACCACCAAUCCCACCUCCGCCGCCACCACCACCACCUCAUCCUCCUCUAUGCUCUCCAAACCCUCCACCUCCUCCACCCUCACAGCCUCAGGCAUCACAAAACCCCGCUCAGCCACCUCCCGCCGUCGAAACAACCGCAACAACUACCCCCCAUCCUGGGGCAGCCCAACCAACAAAAUGAAAAUGAAAAAACGCGUCCUCUGCCUCUUCGACGGCCAGCGCCGCCUCUGGAAAGACGAGAUGAUGCUCGACAAUGAAUUCGAGGUGCGCCUGAAGUUACUCGGCGGUGCGAAUAAUGGCAACGGCGGUGCCGAUGGCACUGACAAUCCCAACGUCCGCGAUGCGUAUGUUACGGAUUUGGACGUGGAGACGCUAAAGCGUGCUGAGGCAGUGCAUGGGGCUACGGAGGAGGAGAGGGGCCCCUGGGAUGGGAACAUGGGCGGCGCAGGCGUUGUUGGACUAAUGGGUCCCGCGGCGGUGCCGUUGUUGAGACACAUGCCGGAGGGCGGGCUGGUUGAUGAGGUGGAUAUUGAUGAGUUGAUGGCGUGAGCGUGGAUGUGGAUGUGUGUGAUCAUUCGAAUUUUGGUUUUUUGUCUUUUUUAAAUUUUUAUUAUUUACUAUUUUAUUUAUUAUUUUUUUUUUUGGUUUUCGUUGGGCUGUUUCGCGAUAGAUGGGAUUUGGCUGGGUAUAUAUAUAUAUCUAUGGGGCAUGGAAAGAUAUUGGGACCAUUGGUUUUUAUUUUAUUUACUUGAGAUUCUCCCUCCCCUUUCCGUUUUAUUCACCUCCUCUUGCCUCACGGUCAACUUGAUUUUCGUGUUCCUUUAUGUUGAAUUUACUUUUCCAUUCAAUUAUAUAUUUAUUACCAUUAGCUGGUCUGUGGUGCUUCCUCCCCUCCCGUCUUCGUUUUCUGCGCCAUGCCUCUAUAUAUAUAUAUAUUUUAAUUUUUUUUCGUGGAAUAUUAUCAUCGUUUAGUGAAC
rnacentral:sRNA from 1 species